GCCCCUAUCGUCUAGAGGCCCAGGACGGGGCCCUCUCAAGGCCCAGACACCGGUUCGAAUCCGGUUAGGGGUACCA
rnacentral:tRNA from 1 species